AAAAGAUCACGAGGAGUUCGCAAACAGGGAGAUGGAGGAAGAGAAUGAUAUGGAGACCCAUUUUAAGGCCCAUCAAUGGGGGGUGGAGGAAGUAAGACAUAUCUGCCAACAAGAAGAAAAGGAGAUGGAAACAAAUACUGUGCAAAUUGAAAAUAAUGUUGAAAAGAUAUUAGACAAAACUAAUGAAGACGAAAGAAAUAUAAAUUUGAUUGAUGACUUCCAUGAUGAUGGCAAAGAUUCUCAUGUCAUGGAAGAAAGUGGCGAAUUGAAACUAAGCAGCCUUCAAGAAAACAAACAGGAUGAUGAGAUAAUUGAAGGGAUUUCCUUUCAUUUGUUCAAUCAUGAGAUUGAACAUGU
rnacentral:lncRNA from 1 species